ensembl:lncRNA
AGCGCUUUGCACAGUGUCUGGCACAUAAGGAGUGCUAAAUACAUGUUUAUUGAUUGCCUGAAGCAGUGAACCACUUUAGGAUGUGGGACUCCAAGUGCAGGAAUAAAGGAAUUGAGCUUUGGAGCCAGAUACCCUAGAGGUAAUCACUUUUGGAGGGAGGAAAGAGUUUCUCUCUCCCUCUCUGUCUCUGACUCUCUCUCUGACUCUCUCUCUCUCUCUCUCUCUCUCUCUCUCUCUCUCUCUCUCUCUCUCUCUCUCUCUCUCCAUCUCUCUCUCCUCUCUCUCUCUCUCCAUCUCUCUCUCUCCUCUCUCCUCUCUCCCCCUCUCUCUCUUUCUCUCUCUCCCACUCUUUCUUUGUCUCUCUCCAUCUCUCUCCCCUCUCUCCCUCUCUCUUUGUCUCUCUCUCUUUCCAUCUCUCUCCUCUCUCUCUCUCUUUUUCUCUCUCCAUCUUUCUCUUUUUUCUCUUCCUCUCUAUCUCUCUCUCCCUCUCUCUGUCUCUCUGUAUGUCUCUCCCCCUUCUUUCUCCCUCUCCCUUUCUGUCUCUCCCUCUAUCCCUUCCUCUCCCUCCACGCUCAGAUUUGUAGUGAAACUCACAGAAUUAGGGAACAGUAAAGUAGUCAGAGGUGGAGAUGACAGCUUGGUUCCAGACCUACUAUGUUUUACAUGUUUUGUCUACGUAGAAAUGCCUAAUAGUUUGAGAUCUAGGACUGUUUACAGAAGAACUGUUGGCCAUGAUAUUCCCCAAAUUUGGCAUGGGCAGACAUUUCACAUUCUAAGAAAACUGUUGCCUAUUUUACAUAUUGCUGUAUUUAAAAACUUCUAAUAUGGGUUAGCGGGCAGAAAAGAAAUGGUUGUGUCUUCAGAACCAUUUCUUGAUUUCUUGACGUUGGUACACGUUGGAGGACUGCUACAUUUGUAAUACUAGGAGGCACAAGGAUGCCUUUGUACACAGGGAGAUAAGGAAGGGCCUUGACCUGUGAUUUCAGAGAUGGAGGGAACAAACUCCCUAGUGAAUGAACAAUGCAAGUCAGCACCUUCUUUGCAACUUAGAGUCUUUUUCCCUUCAGUCAGAUACUUUUUUGGAAAUUUAUGACCAUGAUUCUUAUUAUGAAGUCAGCUCUUUAAUUCCUUCCCUCCCUCCCUCCCUCCCUCCCUCCCUCAGUUCCUUCCUUCCUACCCCAGAUCAGGGAAAGAACAAUAGUUUUGAAUCCAGUUCUGCUAUAUCCUAGGCACUUUGACCCUCAGUUUCUCCAUUUGUAAAAAUUGGAGUACUUGCUUGGUCUUUCUAAAAGGUUCUUCCCAGACCUGCUUUUUUUGUGCUCUAAAGUCCUUUCUAUCUCUAAAUCACUUCAAUUCCCUUCCCAUGUAUCAGAAUCCAAACUGGAGAUGGGGCCUAGGAAACUUGGGUCAUCUGAGGGGUCCAAGGCUGGGACGUCAGGACGUAAGUAAUUCAGUGGAGGUGUGGGGAACAGUCAGCUGGGUUGAUCAGGAGUACCAAGGGCUGAAGAAUCAGGAUGCUGGGGUUCCUUUGUAGGUGUGAGGCUGGAGUUUCAGGCCAUCUGAGGGUAGGACUGGGGACAGGUUGGACUGGACAACCUUCCUGGGGGGCAGGAGUAGUAGGAACAUGCUAAUGCUUCUGCAUUUCACUUUGAAUCCAUUGCUAUAGAUGCCAGGAUACCUCCUCACUGCAGCAUUCCAUGCUCCAAGACACAAAGCCUUACAGGGCUAUAUCUACUAAAGGGCCCACAGAGUCACUCUGGCAGGACUCCUUCCCACCGUUCUUGUCCCCGGCACAGACCUUGUGGUUCCUGGGAAGGUAUUUUUGCAUUUUUCCUCAGAUGACAUACUAAUGUUGACACACUGGAAAGUACUGGGAAAUUGAGCAAAAGGCCUAGAAGUGGCACCCAAGCUGACACAAGUCCCAGGAUUCUCAUAAUCUUUUGCCAGCUUAAUGGGUUGAACUUCAGGGGUCAGCUUCACCGGUUUCUCAAGGUGAAGUCAUGGCUGAUGGAGUUGAAGUUGUACUUAGGGUAGGGUAUCCAGUGAUCCAAACUGAGCAAUUGUUGUGAGGUGUCCUAGCACACCAGACUGUGUUUCCCUAGGACCACCCGAAGGUUCUCCUGGGCACAGUGAGCUUCUAUGAGAACUCACUGAUUGGACAAUGGGACACCACCACAGUGGACCUUUUAAUAUAUUAACAGAGGGGGCAGCUGGGUGUCUCAGUGGAUUGAGAACUAGGUCCAGAGAUGGGAGGUCCUGGGUUCCAAUCUGGCCUCAGACACUUCCCGGCUGUGUGACCCUGGGCAAGUCCCUUAACCCCCAUUGUCUAGCCCUUACCACUCUUCUACCUUGGAAGCAAUACACAGUAUUGAUUCUUAGAUGGAAGGGAAGGGUUUAAAAAUAUAUAUAUUAACAGAGUAUCCUGUCAGGGCCAGGAGUAGGGAAUACAUGUUUGACCACCAGUGAUCUUGUCCUCAUUCCUCUUGGCAGUGGAAGUGACCAAUAGAAGCAGUGCUAAUAUGUGAUCAGGAGCAACCUAGCUGAAGGAGGAGGAGGGGAAAGAUCUAUGAGAAAGAGGGUUGAAGAGAGUAAGAGAAACAGAUGUUUUGAAAUAUGGACACAGAAAUUGAAUGCGUCAGAGACAAGGAGAGCAGCAGAGGCAGAGAGAUGGUACAAGAAACAGAAGAUAGAGCCUGAGUACUUUAGGGAUGGUGGCAGAGACUAGGAGAAUAAGACAGGAAAUGCAGUUAGAGAUAACCACACAAAAAAGGAAAGAUAGAGAGCCAGAACACUAAGCUAGAGAGGUGUCCCCUCUCUUCUGCCUGCCCUGGGAGCGUCCCGUAGAGAAUAUCUGGUAAAGGAGGAAUGAUGUCUCACUUCCAUGAUGCAACUUUUAGUCUAACUUUUAGUCUUUUUGCCUAGACCACUGAGAGGUUUGUUUUUUCAAAACCCUCACUAUCUGUCCUAGUAUCAAUUCUAAGACAGAAGAGCAGCAAGGGCUAGGCAAUCAGGGUAAAGUGACUUGCCCAGGGUCACCCAGCUAGGAAGUAUCUGAGGCCAGAUUUGAAUCCAGGUCCUCCUGACUCCAGAACUGAGAGGUUAAGCAACUAACUCCAGAUAAUAGAGACAUCAUAUGUCAGAGACAGAUCUUGAACCCACUUCUGCCUGGUUCCAAGGCUGACGCUCUAUUUACUAUUCCUUUGGUAGUAUAGCAAUAUAAGAUCAGAAAAGGAGAUGGAACAAUCACAUAAUUAGAAUAAGGAAUAGACCACCUUAGUUCUCUCUCCCUCUAAUCAGUAGCCAAGGUCUGUCAUUUCUCCCUUUGGGAUCUCUCAUAGAUAUGCCCCCUUUCUCCUCUGAUACUGCCACCAUCCUGGUGUAGGCUCUCAUCAUCUCACACUUAUCCUGUUGAAAUAGCCUGCUGCUUGUUCUCUCAGUUUCAAGUCUUUCCACAUUCCAGUCUGUCUCCAAUUCAGUUGUCCGAUAGCUCAGGUCUGACCAUGUCAAGUCCUUCCUCAACAAAGGUCAGUGGUUCCCUAUUACUUCCAGGAUCACAUCUAAAAUCUUCUGUUUGGCCUUUAAAGCCCUUUUUUCUUUCCCCAUCUUACAUCUUCUGCCUCUCCCCCUACUCCGCAAACCAGGAACACUGGCCUUCUUGUUCCUCAUACAUCUUCUGACUCCAUAUAUUUUCUUUGGCUUUCUCUCAUGCCUAGACUUUUCUCCCUUCUCAUCUGUGCCUCUUGAGAUUCCUUGAGAAGCCUUGCUCAGACCUCUUUAAUUUGAGCAUCUUCCUCUGAGCUAUUCUCCAAUUUAUCCUGCAGAUAUCCUCUCUGUAUGUAUGUAAGAUUUAACUUAAUGUCCAGCAAUUCCAAGAAUUAUAUAUUUAUAAAGUUUAUUAACAAUCACUAGAAGUAAAGGAAUAAAAAGGUAACUAUCUAACA